rnacentral:rRNA from 1 species
UGGGGAAUAUUGCACAAUGGGCGCAAGCCUGAUGCAGCCAUGCCGCGUGUGUGAAGAAGGCCUUCGGUUGUAAGCACUUUCAGCGAGGAGGAAGGUGGUGGACUUAAUACGUUCAUCAAUUGACGUUACUCGCAGAAGAAGCACCGGCUAACUCCGUGCCAGCAGCCGCGGUAAUACGGAGGGUGCAAGCGUUAAUCGGAAUUACUGGGCGUAAAGCGCACGCAGGCGGUUUGUUAAGUCAGAUGUGAAAUCCCCGGGCUCAACCUGGGAACUGCAUUUGAAACUGGCAAGCUAGAGUCUCGUAGAGGGGGGUAGAAUUCCAGGUGUAGCGGUGAAAUGCGUAGAGAUCUGGAGGAAUACCGGUGGCGAAGGCGGCCCCCCUGGACGAAGACUGACGCUCAGGUGCGAAAGCGUGGGAGCAAACAG